rnacentral:lncRNA from 1 species
UGCUUGGAGACAGCCCAAAGCCACCCACCAAAUAUGACUACCCAAAGAGAACUCCAGACCCAACCAAGUGCCAUUAUUGAUCGACGGAUCGUGACUCGACGACGACGACCCACUAAUGAAGUGCUAAUACAGUGGGCGAACCUACCAAAAGAAGAUGCCACUUGGGAGAACUAUGACGACUUGAAGAUCAAAUUCCCAAAAUUCAUGAAUCAUUAGCCUCGAGGACAAGGCUGAUUUGAAGAGGGCGG